CAUGGAAUUUUUAUUGUCUGUCUUCCAGUGUCCCUGGCCUGUAGCUGCAUUGCUGUUUCCCUCUCUCUAGGCUCCUCCUCCCUCCCCAAAUCCUGAGCAGAUGGUUUACAGACCCAAACACGAGAGGACUAACACAAGAGGACUUAUAGGACAUGGGAGAGCGAAAAUAUGAAACUUGCUCCCCAUCACUCUGAGAGUGACCAGUGGGUGAGUUGCCUGGAUUUUGAGCCCAGGCAAGAAGUUUCUGACCACAGGACUCAUUACCUUUUGCAGUAAUUUCCCCAUUACUAGAGGAGGUUGGAGGGAAUAAGCCAGCGUUGGAUAUUCUCUUGUCUGGGAUUCAGCAGAGCAAUUUAAGGAGCACAGAAUGGACUCAGGUGACUUGCUUAAGGCCACACAGUGGGAUGGGACAGUGGCUGUGUUGUUGGGGUUUUUUUUCUAGAGUUUGUUGUCGAGAGCCCAGACCCUAUGCUUGAUUCACUGUAUGACCUUUUGCAGAUUACACUGCCUCGCUUGGUCUCAGUUUUCACAUCCAUAAAAUGGGUUUAAUAUACAGUGCCAUGACUAUGUCGAGUGCAUGGUCAUGGGGCCAGUCCUGCAUGGGGCUCCUCAGCCUUGGGGCAGCAGAGGGAGAAGUCUCAGUGGGGAUGAGAAGGAGGCACCGCCCAGGAGUUAGGUACAUGGUGCUGGCCCCCUACGGUGUGGGCCCAAGAGUUCUCCGAUGUUGUGGGGUAUUCAGUCUGGCGAGAAGAGGCCAGAGCCUGAGCCUCAGUAGGUGGGAGUGGGUCUGAGGCAGCUGAGGCUGUGGCCAGGAGGGGUGUGUAGAUAUCUAUCCCUGCCCGUCUGUGAUAGCAGGAGCAGGCCUGGCAGAGGCUUAAAGGGAAAUGGUGGGAAGGAGGCAGACAAGAGCCUAUCAAAUACCGUGGGGUCUGGCUUUGCCCUGUGUGUAGGGAGAAUAAGUAACACUAGGGGCAGCUGGAAAGCCAGAAGGGUGCAAGCAGUAAAUGCCAAUAUUUGCAUUUGUGAUAUGGGGAGCUGACACUUCCCCCAAAGAGCUUUGUUCUUACUUAAGAGCUUUGCUUCUUACUUAAGCAACUGACAUUUGAAGUUUAUGGAAAACCAAACUCAUUAAACAGUGUAAAGACAGAGGAGACAGCACCCAAGGCAGCAGAGGCCCAGCCUACCCUGGCUGAAAUAGCAUGACUUCUGUGCUCAACCAUAGGCUGACACUGAUGAGCGGCUCAGCCUAACCCCAGGGAAACAGGUAAGGGAGUUAUAGUGAGUGCUAGUGUGGGGAGUGUGAGAGGAACAAGCUGGUGUGAGCACAGGGAUGGGGCGUCUCCAGUAGUGGAGUUGUUUAUGCAUUUAUUCUGCACUUGUUUAUUGAGGUCCUACUGUAAGUGCUGGGGAUAGUAAUAGGAAACAUCUGAGUGGCUUACUACAGGCUGGUGGGCUGUCAACCCAGAGCAUAAUCAUGCUAGCCCCGCCCUAGGGGUGGGGAAGAGCCUAAGUGUCCCUCUGAGUGACACUUCCCUUCUCUCCUGCCCCUCCUCCUAGACCUUUCUUCCACAGCUGCACAGGCGGGCAGGCAGCCUGUGAUGGGGCCCUGCUCAGAAGACCCCCAUCUCUGCUGGGCCUCCCGGCUCCUGGGAUUCACCAGCCUACUCCUCAAAAGAAUAUGGAGAAACUACAGAAGGGACAGCAGACUGGUAAUGCGGGCUCCAGAAGGGAGUGAACUUCGGGAGAAGAGAAAUGGAAGUAGAAACAAUAGGGAGUUAAGUGAAAAUGAACUGAAGACUGGACAACACCGCAAUCACAUACAGGACUUCCUGGGAGAUUAUAUGAUUAUGUAUAAGGAAAUUAAGUGAAAACUGAUGAGGAAAUACUAAUACCCAGUGAAUUAUGAAUUCUGGAGAAAGUUGGAAAGCUUCUAUUGUUUUAACUUUUUGUUUUAGUGACCCAGCCACUAAAUAAACUUGCAGGAGUUAUAUGAAA